GAAUUAGCCUAGGGGUGGAAGGCGAGUCGGUAGGGCGUACAGCUACCAACCUGAAGGUUGCGGGUUCGAUUCCCGCCCUUCGCACA